UGGGGAAUCUUGGACAAUGGGCGAAAGCCUGAUCCAGCGACGCCGCGUGAAGGAAGGAGUCCCUCGGGAUGUAAACUUCUGAACUAGUCGAAUAAAGAGGUAGCGGACACGCUACAAGAGAAGGUAGGCUAGGAAAAGUCCCGGCUAACUACGUGCCAGCAGCCGCGGUAAGACGUAGGGGGCGAGCGUUGCCCGGAAUCACUGGGUGUAAAGGGGACGUAGGCGGUAAACCAAGUCAUAUGUGAAAACCAUUUGCUCAACGAAAGGCUUGCGUAUGAAACUGGAGAACUUGAGUGUAGCAGAGGUAGACGGAAUUACCUGAGUAGGGGUGAAAUCCGCAGAUACAGGUAAGAAGGCCGGUGGAGAAGUCGGUCUACUGGGCUACAACUGACGCUGAGGUCCGAAAGCCAGGGGAGCGAACC
rnacentral:rRNA from 1 species